rnacentral:rRNA from 1 species
AGCGAACGCUGGCGGCAGGCCUAACACAUGCAAGUCGAACGAACUCUUCGGAGUUAGUGGCGGACGGGUGAGUAACACGUGGGAACGUGCCUUUUGGUUCGGAAUAACUCAGGGAAACUUGUGCUAAUACCGAAUGUGCCCUUCGGGGGAAAGAUUUAUCGCCAUUAGAGCGGCCCGCGUCUGAUUAGCUAGUUGGUGAGGUAACGGCUCACCAAGGCGACGAUCAGUAGCUGGUCCGAGAGGAUGACCAGCCACACUGGGACUGAGACACGGCCCAGACUCCUACGGGAGGCAGCAGUGGGGAAUCUUGCGCAAUGGGCGAAAGCCUGACGCAGCCAUGCCGCGUGAAUGAUGAAGGUCUUAGGAUUGUAAAAUUCUUUCACCGGGGACGAUAAUGACGGUACCCGGAGAAGAAGCCCCGGCUAACUUCGUG